GCCUGGGUGGCUCAGUUGGGCAUCUGACUUCAGCUCAGGUCAUGAUCUCACGGUUCGUGGGUUCGAGCCCCGCUUCGGGCU
rnacentral:tRNA from 1 species